rnacentral:rRNA from 1 species
CAGCCGUAAACAAUGUGCGUUAGGUGUGUCGGUAACCACGCGUUACUGAUGCGCCGAAGAGAAAUCGUGAAACGCACCACCUGGGAAGUACGGUCGCAAGGCUGAAACUUAAAGGAAUUGGCGGGGGAGGCACCACAACAGGUGGAGCCUGCGGUUUAAUUGGAUUCAACGCCGGACAUCUCACCGGAUAAGACAGCUGAAUGAUUGUCAAUCUGAAGGUCUUACAUGACUAGCUGAGAGGAGGUGCAUGGCGUCAGUG